rnacentral:rRNA from 1 species
UACAGAGGGUGCGAGCGUUGUUCGGAAUUACUGGGCGUAAAGCGCGCGAGGUGGUGUGUUAAGUCUGCCGGUCAAAUGCCGAGGCUCAACCUCGUGCCCGCCGGGGAUACUGGCACGCUAGAGACACGUAGAGGCAAGCGGAAUUCCGGGUGUAGCGGUGGAAUGCGUAGAGAUCCGGAAGAACACCGGAGGCGAAGGCGGCUUGCUGGGCGUGAUCUGACGCCUGAGGCGCGAAAGCGUGGGGAGCGAACAGG